GUCGAGCGAACAGAUAAGGAGCUUGCUCCUUUGACGUUAGCGGCGGACGGGUGAGUAACACGUGGGUAACCUACCUAUAAGACUGGGAUAACUUCGGGAAACCGGAGCUAAUACCGGAUAACAUUUGGAACCGCAUGGUUCAAUAGUGAAAGGCGGCUUUGCUGUCACUUAUAGAUGGAUCCGCGCCGUAUUAGCUAGUUGGUAAGGUAACGGCUUACCAAGGCAACGAUACGUAGCCGACCUGAGAGGGUGAUCGGCCACACUGGAACUGAGACACGGUCCAGACUCCUACGGGAGGCAGCAGUAGGGAAUCUUCCGCAAUGGGCGAAAGCCUGACGGAGCAACGCCGCGUGAGUGAUGAAGGUCUUCGGAUCGUAAAACUCUGUUAUCAGGGAAGAACAAAUGUGUAAGUAACUGUGCACAUCUUGACGGUACCUGAUCAGAAAGCCACGGCUAACUACGUGCCAGCAGCCGCGGUAAUACGUAGGUGGCAAGCGUUAUCCGGAAUUAUUGGGCGUAAAGCGCGCGUAGGCGGUUUUUUAAGUCUGAUGUGAAAGCCCACGGCUCAACCGUGGAGGGUCAUUGGAAACUGGAAAACUUGAGUGCAGAAGAGGAAAGUGGAAUUCCAUGUGUAGCGGUGAAAUGCGCAGAGAUAUGGAGGAACACCAGUGGCGAAGGCGACUUCCUGGUCUGUAACUGACGCUGAUGUGCGAAAGCGUGGGGAUCAAACAGGAUUAGAUACCCUGGUAGUCCACGCUGUAAACGAUGAGUGCUAAGUGUUAGGGGGGUUUCCGCCCCUUAGUGCUGCAGCUAACGCAUUAAGCACUCCGCCUGGGGAGUACGACCGCAAGGUUGAAACUCAAAGGGAAUUGACGGGGACCCGCACAAGCGGUGGAGCAUGGUGGUUUAAUUCGAAGCAACGCGAAGAACCUUACCAAAUCUUGACAUCCUUUGACCGCUCUAGGAAGAUAGAGUUUUCCCCUUCGGGGGACAAAGUGACAGGUGGUGCAUGGUUGUCGUCAGCUCGUGUCGUGAGAUGUUGGGUUAAGUCCCGCAACGAGCGCAACCCUUAAGCUUAGUUGCCAUCAUUAAGUUGGGCACUCUAAGUUGACUGCCGGUGACAAACCGGAGGAAGGUGGGGAUGACGUCAAAUCAUCAUGCCCCUUAUGAUUUGGGCUACACACGUGCUACAAUGGACAAUACAAAGGGCAGCUAAACCGCGAGGUCAAGCAAAUCCCAUAAAGUUGUUCUCAGUUCGGAUUGUAGUCUGCAACUCGACUACAUGAAGCUGGAAUCGCUAGUAAUCGUAGAUCAGC
rnacentral:rRNA from 1 species